rnacentral:rRNA from 1 species
GUGGGGAAUCUUCCGCAAUGGACGAAAGUCUGACGGAGCAACGCCGCGUGAACGAUGACGGCCUUCGGGUUGUAAAGUUCUGUUAUACGGGACGAAUGGUACGACGGUCAAUACCCGUCGUAAGUGACGGUACCGUAAGAGAAAGCCACGGCUAACUACGUGCCAGCAGCCGCGGUAAUACGUAGGUGGCAAGCGUUGUCCGGAAUUAUUGGGCGUAAAGGGCGCGCAGGCGGCGUCGUAAGUCGGUCUUAAAAGUGCGGGGCUUAACCCCGUGAGGGGACCGAAACUGCGAUGCUAGAGUAUCGGAGAGGAAAGCGGAAUUCCUAGUGUAGCGGUGAAAUGCGUAGAUAUUAGGAGGAACACCAGUGGCGAAAGCGGCUUUCUGGACGACAACUGACGCUGAGGCGCGAAAGCCAGGGGAGCAAACGGGAUUAGAUACCCUGGUAGUCC